rnacentral:tRNA from 1 species
AUAGGUAGGGUAAUAGAUACCGGCCUCUCAUGUCGGUAACAGGGGUUCGAACCCUUUGGGACUACCA